rnacentral:misc_RNA from 1 species
GAUGAAGAACGUAGCGAAAUGCGAUAAGUAAUGUGAAUUGCAGAAUUCAGUGAAUCAUCGAAUCUUUGAACGCACAUUGCGCCCCCUGGUAUUCCGGGGGGCAUGCCUGUCCGAGCGUCAUUACAACCCUCAAGCUCAGCUUGGUGUUGGGCCCCGCCGCCCCGGCGGGCCCUAAAAUCAGUGGCGGUGCCGUCCGGCUCCGAGCGUAGUAAUUCUUCUCGCUCUGGAGGUCCGGUCGUGUGCUCGCCAGCAACCCCCAAUUUUUUUCAGGUUGACCUCGGAUCAGGUAGGGAUACCCGCUGAACUUAAGCAUAUCAAUAAGCGGAGGA